AACACUUCUUGUCUCAUUUACUUCGUUUUGGUUUCCCCUUGAUUUUCUAUAAAUUAUUUUCGAUUUGCAAGAACGGAACUCUGAAAUAAUUCUUCUGUCAUUUCUGAUACAUGUGUAUAUAUUAGUUUGUAUAUUCAAUAAUUUAUGCAUAUCUAGAAUACAAGUUAUAACUAAAUUCUUCACACAAAUUUGAAAAUCAACACAAUUUCAAGGGCAUGCAAAGCAAGGUUAAAGCAAAACAACGACAAACACAGAUGCAUGAGUAUGAGGACUCGAUAUAAAUGAAUGAUUUGGAAAGGAAACUCUGAUAACCUAAAAAAUAAAUCAAAACAAAUGGACCCACGCACAAUGAGAUAUCGGAUGAAACGAAAAAAAUUUAAAAACUAGAACGCUAAUGGAGUGUAAAUGUACGAUGGUGAAGAGCGAUUGGGGCGGUACUAACUACACGUAAUGAUUCCGCAUGAGCAGAUGUGAACUCGGUUCUAGAUAACAAAUGAUAACUUAAAUAUCUCCCAAUGUCGAAAUGGCGUCAAGGUUGCCUUGUACACAUACAUACAUAUAUAUGCUCUGUUGUGGGUUAAUUAUUAAGUGUGCCUGUGGCGCCGUUCGAGCAACGAUGUAUAUCAAGUGUAUAGCAAACGAAUAAUUGAGCGUCGAAUUAAGUAAGUGUCGAGACGCAAAAAGAGAAUUGAACUGUCAAGACUUAAAACGAUAGCAAUCACGCAUACAAAUGUAGAACAGAAUCCAGCGACACAAAUCCAUUUUGGCGACAAAGUCGUUGCUUGCGUAAUUGCCAAGCCACUGACACAGCAACUCAGCAGCCGAGAUGUCUGACACUCCGCUGGAAGGAGGUUAGGAGAAAAUCAACGCGCUGUGGGUAACGCUUAGUAGACGCCAAGACGUCUACGGGCGGUAGGUAAGGGAGCUUCAAGCCGAAAUACGGUACUGUCCGUCUGUAUGCUCAGCAAGAGGCAAACAGCAAAGGCAGCGCGCGAACAAAGGGAGAGAGCGAAAAGAAAACUAAACAAAAUGAGAGCAGUGAGUUUCGCAUUGAAACCGCAUUUUCCAACAACUCUUAAGCACAGCAGGUAAAAUUUUGCCACAACAUACUUGCUGAUGCUUUUACCUAGGAGGUAGGUGGGUAGCUCUAGUGAUGACUACGGUUAUUUGUCCUCGGACAAGUUCUACUUUUCGGUGCUAACUUCUCUAAUCAGGCACACCACCAAGCGCAACAACAAUGUCACAUACACCCGUAUAGUUAAGCGACUCUCCCUCUUGCGGGGGUUGCGGUUCUCCACGGCAACGAAGACAUAAAUAGAAAGAAACUUUUUGGUUAUCUUCUUGUGUAAUUAUUGUCUUCUUUUUGGGAUUUUUGUGUCAUUCUUGAAUGAUAACACAGCGGCGGAGAAACUAAAAGAAAACCUCGAGACAGUGACAGGGGCAAUGGCGGUGGCACAUAGUUAUUGCUGAGGCGGCAAAGCUGCCAAAAACACAACUACAUAUAUAUACAUAUAUAUAUAUAUAUAUACUUGUAUAUAUAUAAAUAUAUAAAUAAGUUUGUGUGUGCGUACGAGUCGUCGAAAACAAUGAAAAAGUGCAGAAAGAAUGGGCGAAAGUAGCUCAAGAAGAAGAUGGUAGAGCUGCGGCCAGCCCAGGGCAUUAUUAGUUACAGUUAUUGCUCGCUGAAGGUUGUAGAUGUGUGACACAUUGCGUGUGUGUGCGGCACUACAGAGGCAGAGUUAAAAAUAAGCCGACAAUUAUUGCAAUGUAUUCUGCGUAUCCACAGUUCUGAGUGCAUGCGCCAAGGUUGAGCAUGCGCUGCUCCACUCUUAUGUAAAUAUAAACAUAUUUAUUUGGAUAUACAUACAUAUCUACACAUGAGAGUGUGUGUUUUCGUGUAAUUUUAAAUGAUUGAUAAUUAUGUCGCCUUUGUCGGUGCAUGUUCACUAACUCACUCGGUUUAACCAUCACAGAAUUUAAUGAGUUUCGGCAUUACUUGUAUGUAAUCAGUUUAGGACAAUAUAGAACGAAGACUAGGACCAUUAUAUAGGCAUCCAGAAAAGUGAACACCCGUUGCAAAAUAAUAGCACUGUAUUCAAAAUUGUAUGGUAUAUAGCGUUAGACGGUACGUGUUCAAUGAGCAGCAAACAUCGGCAUUUGUGGUUUGCUCCGGUCAGCCCCAAAAGUUAACCUCAAUGUCAUUUCUAUAUGGCUUUAUUAGACGAUACACCUAGUUUUACUACGAAAGAUUCUAGCAAACACAGGGAAGUUGCGAGCUCUGAAAUUCUUCCCAUCUUCGAUAGAAUUACGGAUAAUCUAAUAAUAAUAAUCACUCCGUUGUUAAGCCAAUAACUAGUAGUUUCUAUUCUAUGAUCUUACUUGCGAGUUUCAUGUAGUGGAUCUACUAGAUUCCGCCACUUCUCUGGUGGCUUCGCUACUGAUGAGGGAAUAUUUUUCCUUAGCUUCAGAUAUUCGGACCACUGCAGCGUUUAUCAAGCAGGGGCUGAAGCGAAGCCCAGAGGAAAUAUUGGUGGAGAAAUCUUUUUCUUAAGUUUCAGCAGGGAUGACUGCUAUCAAGGUAGAAGAGUGGCGAAACUGUGUUUGAACUUGCUGACUGUAUGCUUAGCACUAGUAAAGGAAUGUUCAACUUAAUCAUUAAUGUCAUCAAGCUAUUUCUGGAUGCAAGUUACUAGAAACUGUACAGCUCCGCUAUCCUAUGCCUCUUGCUUCUAGGACUGGACGGCUGCGCUUGUCGUGAGUUUAAUGAGUACUUGUGCGGCUGCGAGGAGAAAUCUUUUGAACUACUUGCCCUCAGCAAUAUUCAUUUUACUCCAAAUGUAGGGAUUUUAGCCGGAUAUUGCCCAUUGGACAUACAUAUGUACUCGUAUAUGCGGAUCUAGACUUAUGAAUAAUAACUUUGGGCGCCACCAGGAAUGGUUGUUUAAAAUGUUCAAGUGUGACUGUCGUGAUUUGCGUCCCAGAUACAAGUCCCGAGAUUGAACUUUUUCUAAGAUUUUAUAUCUACUCGUUUUAUCAAGAAAUUCGGACGAGCUAAGUGACCAAUUUAAAAGUAGACGGCAUUCAGUCAGGACGAGUUCUUUAACAUAAUAUUUGUGAGGUUAGGUACAGUCCUUUAUUAGAAUUAAAAAUCUGCUGCCACCUAGCAAUCCAAUACAGAAUGUUGCGAGUGACCAAAUACCACUUUAGACUAAGUGGGCUAUAGACCUUUAUUGACGAGACACCAUUCGAAUAAUUCUUACUACGAGCCUACGAACUUUCUGGAUGUCAACACUUGAAGAGAACUUUUCAAGUCACACGAAUAUUUUUACCAUGAUCAUCAAGAAAAGAAACACUGUUAAUGAAUAUCAAUAUGAAAUAAGUUUAUUCAACACAACCCCCUAAUAAAUUGAAUUCCAAG